rnacentral:rRNA from 1 species
GGAACUGCGGAAGGAAAUUGUCGAAUCCUGCACAUGCAGAACGACCAGAGAA